rnacentral:rRNA from 1 species
GUGGGUAGUUUGACUGGGGCGGUCUCCUCCUAAAGAGUAACGGAGGAGCACGAAGGUUGGCUAAUCCUGGUCGGACAUCAGGAGGUUAGUGCAAUGGCAUAAGCCAGCUUGACUGCGAGCGUGACGGCGCGAGCAGGUGCGAAAGCAGGUCAUAGUGAUCCGGUGGUUCUGAAUGGAAGGGCCAUCGCUCAACGGAUAAAAGGUACUCCGGGGAUAACAGGCUGAUACCGCCCAAGAGUUCAUAUCGACGGCGGUGUUUGGCACCUCGAUGUCGGCUCAUCACAUCCUGGGGCUGAAGUAGGUCCCAAGGGUAUGGCUGUUCGCCAUUUAAAGUGGUACGCGAGCUGGGUUUAGAACGUCGUGAGACAGUUCGGUCCCUAUCUGCCGUGGGCGCUGGAGAACUGAGGGGGGCUGCUCCUAGUACGAGAGGACCGGAGUGGACGCAUCACUGGUGUUCGGGUUGUCAUGCCAAUGGCACUGCCCGGUAGCUAAAUGCGGAAGAGAUAAGUGCUGAAAGCAUCUAAGCACGAAACUUGCCCCGAGAUGAGUUCUCCCUGAGACUUAAAGUCUCCUGAAGGAACGUUGAAGACGACGACGUUGAUAGGCCGGGUGUGUAAGCGCAGCGAUGCGUUGAGCUAACCGGUACUAAUGAACCGUGAGGCUUAACCUUACAAC